rnacentral:rRNA from 1 species
GAUGAACGCUGGCGGCGUGCCUAACACAUGCAAGUCGAGCGAAGCACUUUGCUUAGAUUCUUCGGAUGAAGAGGAUUGUGACUGAGCGGCGGACGGGUGAGUAACGCGUGGGUAACCUGCCUCAUACAGGGGGAUAACAGUUAGAAAUGACUGCUAAUACCGCAUAAGACCACAGCACCGCAUGGUGCGGGGGUAAAAACUCCGGUGGUAUGAGAUGGACCCGCGUCUGAUUAGCUAGUUGGUAAGGUAACGGCUUACCAAGGCGACGAUCAGUAGCCGACCUGAGAGGGUGACCGGCCACAUUGGGACUGAGACACGGCCCAAACUCCUACGGGAGGCAGCAGUGGGGAAUAUUGCACAAUGGGGGAAACCCUGAUGCAGCGACGCCGCGUGAGCGAAGAAGUAUUUCGGUAUGUAAAGCUCUAUCAGCAGGGAAGAAAAUGACGGUACCUGACUAAGAAGCACCGGCUAAAUACGUGCCAGCAGCCGCGGUAAUACGUAUGGUGCAAGCGUUAUCCGGAUUUACUGGGUGUAAAGGGAGCGUAGACGGAUGGGCAAGUCUGAUGUGAAAACCCGGGGCUCAACCCCGGGACUGCAUUGGAAACUGUUCAUCUAGAGUGCUGGAGAGGUAAGUGGAAUUCCUAGUGUAGCGGUGAAAUGCGUAGAUAUUAGGAGGAACACCAGUGGCGAAGGCGGCUUACUGGACAGUAACUGACGUUGAGGCUCGAAAGCGUGGGGAGCAAACAGGAUUAGAUACCCUGGUAGUCCAC